rnacentral:rRNA from 1 species
CCUCACCCGGCCCGGACACGGACAGGAUUGACAGAUUGAUAGCUCUUUCUCGAUUCCGUGGGUGGUGGUGCAUGGCCGUUCUUAGUUGGUGGAGCGAUUUGUCUGGUUAAUUCCGAUAACGAACGAGACUCUGGCAUGCUAACUAGUUACGCGACCCCCGAGCGGUCGGCGUCCCCCAACUUCUUAGAGGGACAAGUGGCGUUCAGCCACCCGAGAUUGAGCAAUAACAGGUCUGUGAUGCCCUUAGAUGUCCGGGGCUGCACGCGCGCUACACUGACUGGCUCAGCGUGUGCCUACCCUACGCCGGCAGGCGCGGGUAACCCGUUGAACCCCAUUCGUGAUGGGGAUCGGGGAUUGCAAUUAUUCCCCAUGAACGAGGAAUUCCCAGUAAGUGCGGGUCAUAAGCUUGCGUUGAUUAAGUCCCUGCCCUUUGUACACACCGCCCGUCGCUACUACCGAUUGGAUGGUUUAGUGAGGCCCUCGGAUCGGCCCCGCCGGGGUCGGCCCACGGCCCUGGCGGAGCGCUGAGAAGACGGUCGAACUUGACUAUCUAGAGGAAGUAAAAGUCGUA